GUAAGACAGUAUGUUUCGGUAUAUUUCUGAGGGUCACACUGGUCUCACUUGACGCGUACAAAAUUUGACAUCUACGGAAAGCGGCGCCAGAUUGUGUGAAAAAAGUUGCGCAACUGCUGUACUUUAUGGCUGGCCGGCGAUGCUGCCAACAAUUCCCAUGCACAUUUCGGUCGUCAGAGCACGACAUUUUCAUGCGAUACGCCAGCUCUUUGGGCUUGCGGGCGCAAUGCGUGUUUAAUAAUGGCGAAAUUAUCAAAGUAUUCAAGCAAGCUUGCCGCCAUUACUUGGAGGAGCCGAAAAUAAUGACAUUCUCGCCUUCGACGGCAAUAAACAUUCUAACCAUGUUGGGACGAUCAGGCAACUUGGGAAAA